CAAUAGCGUAUAUUAAAGUUGUUGCGGUUAAAAAGCUCGUAGUUGGAUUUCUGCUGAGAACGACCGGUCCGCCCUCUGGGUGUGUAUCUGGCUCUUUCUUGGCAUCUUCUUGGUGAACGUUGCUGCACUUGACUGUGUGGAGCGCUACCCAGGACUUUUACUUUGAGGAAAUUAGAGUGUUUCAAGCAGGCAUACGCCUUGAAUACAUUAGCAUGGAAUAAUAAGAUAGGACCUCGGUUCUAUUUUGUUGGUUUCUAGAGCUGAGGUAAUGAUUAAUAGGGAUAGUUGGGGGCAUUCGUAUUUAACUGUCAGAGGUGAAAUUCUUGUAUUUGUUAAAGACGGACUACUGCGAANGNAUUUGCNAAGGAUGUUUNCAUUG
rnacentral:rRNA from 1 species